AUGGGGCCGCACCCACGGCCUGCUACUCUGGCGCUGCGGCCAAGAGGGUCUCGCUUCGGCGCUGCUCCAGCCGCUGCUCCCGUCCUGGCGCGGGCGCCAAGGCCGUCCCCGCCCAUCUCUGGUUGUGUGCAGGCAGGUGACCAGCAGGAGCACGUAGGAGGGGUCCUUCGGUUGCCGCCAUGGCUCAGAUCUUGCUCCAUGGAAACCUCCACGUCAACAUCUUUGAGGCCUCGUCGCUCUCCCACCCCGGCCGCGCCAGCGGCCGCGCCCCCAAGUUCAUCCGCAAGGUACAUGAAGGCCGGGAGCGCCAAGGCACACCUCGCGCACGGGUCGAUCAUGGUGUACCAGCUUUGCAAGGGCGUUUCUUUUUGCCACGGACGCGGUGUCCGGCACCAUGAACUUGAGCCACACAACCUGGAAAUUGGUGGACGGGUUGGUAUCCUCUAG
rnacentral:rRNA from 1 species